AAAUCCGCUUUGAUAAUGCUGGGAUGUGAUGGGGAGCGAAAUUUAGUAGCGAAGUAGCUGAUUUCACACUGUCAAGAAAAGUCUCUAUCGAGGUUAAAGGUACCCGUACCGCAAACCGACACAGGUGGGUGAGGAGAGUAUCCUAAGGCCAGCGAGAGAACUGUUGUUAAGGAACUCGGCAAAAUGACCCCGUAACUUAGGGAUAAGGGGUGCCACCAUCAGGUGGCCGCAGAGAAUAGGCCCAAGCGACUGUUUACCAAAAACAUAGGUUUCUGCUAAGUCGCAAGACGAUGUAUAGGAGCUGACGCCUGCCCGGUGCUGGAAGGUUAAGGGGAUCUGUUAGAGCAAUCGAAGCAGUGAACUUAAGCCCCAGUAAACGGCGGCCGUAACUAUAACGGUCCUAAGGUAGCGAAAUUCCUUGUCGGGUAAGUUCCGACCCGCACGAAAGGCGUAACGAUUUGGGCACUGUCUCAACAACAGACUCGGUGAAAUUGUAAUUCCGGUGAAGAUGCCGGAUACCUGCGACAGGACGGAAAGACCCCAUGGAGCUUUACUGUAGCUUGACAUUGGGUCUUGGUACUACAUGUACAGGAUAGGUGGGAGGCUUUGAAACCAGGACGCCAGUUUUGGCGGAGCCAUCCUUGGGAUACCACCCUUGUAGUACUGGGACUCUAACCAUAGGCCAUGAAUCUGGUCUUGGGACACUGUCAGGUGGGCAGUUUGACUGGGGCGGUCGCCUCCCAAAAGGUAACGGAGGCGCUCAAAGGUUCUCUCAGUACGGUCGGAAAUCGUACGUAGAGUGUAAAGGCAAAAGAGAGCUUGAUUGCAAGACAUACAGGUCGAGCAAGGAUGAAAAUCGGACUUAGUGAUCCGGUGGUUCUGCGUGGAAG
rnacentral:rRNA from 1 species